rnacentral:misc_RNA from 1 species
UUGCUGCUGGUUCUCGCCGGCAUCGCUGCUGCGUAGGGCUGCUGUUGGUGUCACUGCGUCGCCGGAGCUAUCCCUGCAAAAGAAGAAAAAAGAGAAAAAGGGAAGGAGAAUGGGGGGAGAAACGGGAAGGGGAAACGGGAAAGGGGGAAAGGGAGGGGGAAACGAGAAGGGGGAAAGGGAAAGGAAAAAGGGAAGGGGGAAAAGGGGAGGGGAAGGGGCGACGGGAGAGGGAACGGGGGAAGGGGCUGACGCUGAGACGGACAGCAGCAAGCCAUCAGCCACCAGUCCCUCUCCCUUCCUCCUCUCCCUCUUUCCGUCAGCCCCUCCCCCCGUUCCCUCUCCCUUUGCCCCUCUCACGUCGCCCCUUCCCCUCCCU